GAUGAACGCUAGCGGCAGGCUUAAUACAUGCAAGUUGAGGGGCAGCAUGAUAUACGCGAGUAUAUUGAUGGCGACCGGCGGACGGGUGAGUAAUAGGUAGGAGACCUACCUCAUACAGGGGGAUAGCAUAGAGAAAUCUGUGGUAAUACCCCAUGAGGUUAUAUGAAUAGAGGCAUAUAAUCAAAGCAUAAGCGAUUAUGCGGUAUGAGAGGGGCCUACUGACCAUUAGCUAGUUGGUGAGGUAAGGGCUCACCAAGGCGAAGAUGGUUAGGGGUUUUGAGAGAGAGACCCCCCACAUUGGAACUGAGAGACGGUCCAGACUCCUACGGGAGGCAGCCGUAGGGAAUAUUGGGCAAUGGGCGAAAGCCUGACCCAGCCAUGCCGCGUGAAGGAAGACGGCCUUAUGGGUUGUAAACUUCUUUACUACGCGAAUAGAGGUUAGUACGAGAUACUAAUAGGAAGGUAGUGUAGUAAAAGCACCGGCUAACUCCGUGCC
rnacentral:rRNA from 1 species